rnacentral:misc_RNA from 1 species
UUAUGCGUUAUGCAAAAGUCUGUGCGGGAGCCCUUACAUAUAUAAGUGCGAGGGCCCAUAAAAAGAAUGACUGCUAAGCAUUUUUUAUUAAUACAAUUUUUACAUUUAAUUUUUUAGUUUUAAAUGAAUAUUUGCGUCAACACGUAAUGGUAUAAAAUUUUAUGUUUGAUCACAUUCUUUAUGAUUCUUUAUCAGUGACUUGAACUUCGUCAGUAGACAGUUUUUUUUGCACGCUUGCACAAGAAAGUUUGUGUAAAUUAGUGGAAAUAUUAUAAUUACGCACAAAUAUGACGGACAAUGUCAAGGAAACAAAAAAUGAAAUGGAAGAUAAGGAAUUGAACGAUUUAUUGGAUAGUGCUCUGCAAGAUUUUGACAAAGUAUCUAUAUCAAACGUUGAAAAAGUUGAUGACACAGAUACAGUAAACUUACCAAAACAAACAGAUAAGUAUGAGACAUGCGAAGACAAAUGGACAGAAGAUUUUCUCAAACAGACAGCGGAUCAGUUUGAAAGGAAUUUGCAAAAUUUAUUACAAAAUGGAGAUAGUGAGCUGGAGGCUGCUUUACAGAACAUGCUUGGACAAACAUCGGUCAGCAAUGAUGUGGCAGAUGACAAAGACAUGAAUACAGAUUUUCAAUCAACCAUUUCGCAAGUUUUAAAGGACUUGACCACAAAUUCUGAAAGCUUACAGAAUGAAGCGGAUGUGGCGGCUAUGCUCAGGCAAACAUCUCUUGACGGUGAUACCGGCGAUAUAUUGCCAUUUAUGCAAGGGAUGAUGGAGCACCUUUUAUCGAAAGAAAUUCUUUAUCCGUCAUUGAAGGAACUGUCAGACAAAUAUCCAACGUGGUUAGAAGAACACAAGACGACUUUGAACACUUCUGAUUUACAGAGGUAUACGAAACAAUCAGAGUUGAUGCAAAAGGUACUAGAUUCACACAUGUGUGCAAUGUGUGGUUCGGCUAUUGCUCACGAGUGAGGGAAGUGGACACACGAGCCGAAGGCGAGUUUGUACACUUGUUACACAAUGUACUAUUUUUUAAUGGUGUGCGUUGAAUUGGAAAAGGAAAAGGAAGAUGACGGGGAAGAUGUUAAACAACGUCGAUUCGAAUGCGUGUUGAAACUAAUGACGGAGAUGCAGAAUUAUGGUCAAGCACCAGAGGAUCUU